rnacentral:rRNA from 1 species
UACGUAGGGUGCAAGCGUUGUCCGGAAUUAUUGGGCGUAAAGAGCUCGUAGGCGGUUUGUCGCGUCUGCUGUGAAAACCCGAGGCUCAACCUCGGGCCUGCAGUGGGUACGGGCAGACUAGAGUGCGGUAGGGGAGAGUGGAAUUCCUGGUGUAGCGGUGAAAUGCGCAGAUAUCAGGAGGAACACCGAUGGCGAAGGCGGCAUCCUGGACCGGCAUUGACG